rnacentral:rRNA from 1 species
GACGAACGCUGGCGGCGUGCUUAACACAUGCAAGUCGAACGGAAAGGCCUUUUCGGGGGUACUCGAGUGGCGAACGGGUGAGUAACACGUGGUUGAUCUGCCCUGUACUCUGGGAUAAGCCUGGGAAACUGGGUCUAAUACCGGAUAGGACCGCACUUUAGUGUGUGUGGUGGAAAGUUUUUUCGGUGUAGGAUGAGCCCGCGGCCUAUCAGCUUGGUGGUGGGGUAAUGGCCUACCAAGGCGGCGACGGGUAGCCGGACUGAGAGGUUGGUCGGCCACAUUGGGACUGAGAUACGGACCAGACUCCUACGGGAGGCAGAAGUGGGGAUGAGUGAACAAGGGGCGCAGGCCUGAGGCAGAGACGCCGCUGGGGGGAGGACGGCCAUCGGCUUGUGAACUCCUUUCGCCAGGGACGAAGCGUUUUGUGACGGUACCUGGAGAAGAAGCACCGGCUAACUACGUG